AUACAUGACCUUUUAUACCACCGUUUUACAGACAUCUGCUUUCUUUCUGUUGGCUGAGCAGAAGUCUAUGUUAGUUUAAAUAGGCUUAAUUAUUUAACAGAACAUGAUAUGGAUGCAGACAUUUAGGCUAUGUGUGGAUAAAACAACUGCACAGUUAAACAGCCACUUAAUAUUUAGGCUACUUCACAAUGUAAAACAUGAUCAACAUGAAGUACCUCCAUGAGAUAAUGCCGAGCUCUGACCUGUUUGAACAAUGUUUUUAUAUUUCAUCUUAAGCUGCUGCCACGUGCGCUUCUCCCCCUCCGGAUUUCACCUAAAUGAAAUAACAUAAUAUUGUACCAUUCAGACAGUUUUUCCCUGUAAUAUUACUACGAUUACAAAGGACUACAUUUAAACUUAUGCAUUGACCCGGGCAGCAGUGUUCUCCACGCCGUCUCUCUCUCUUUUGCAGCUGCAGCGGUGUUGCACUUCUUUCUUAAAACGUGUUCAAACUCGCCAUAUGAGCACAUUAAAAACUUCCAGUUCAAAAAUGCAGCCUUUCGCUUCCCCGUUGCCAUGGUGACUUGUCGAAUCGGGGCUCCAUUGAUGCUGUCUUUUCAGAGUUGCGGUGCACGCGCUUAACUCCAAGUGCAACUCCUCCGAGUUAAUUAAACCAACUCAAAUCAGCCGCUGUGAAACCGAAAACUCAAGAGUUUUAUCUCAGAGUAGAUCAACUCAGAGUUGAGGAUGAAACUCAGAGUUUCUUGAACCUCCUUUGUGAAACAGGCCCCUGAUGUGGUCCUGUCACAUCAACAUCCUAGUGAAGAAUGGUCGACAGCGUCUCUACCACCUCAGAUGCCUGAGACAAUUUAGGCUCCCUCUCAAAGUGCUGAGGAACUUCUACACCUUCACCACUGAGUGUUUUAGCUGGUAGCAUCACCACCUGGAUGGACAGCAGCACCCAACAGGACUUCUUGGCUCUGAGGAGGGUGGUCUGCUUGGCUGAGCGCACCAUCAGAACCAUCCUCCCCAACCUGCAGAACAUUUACAACAAACGAUGCAGGCUAAAGGUCAGGAAGAUUGCAAAUGAACUCACCCACCCAAUUUAUUUACUGUGUUUUUAUUCUUUAUUCAUAUUGUUUCAGUUUGGAAUAGGUACACAACACAUUUCACUGUGCAUUAUACCAUGCAUAAUUGUGUUUGUGAUAAAGUUCUUGAAUCUUGAGAUGCAAAAAUAAAAAGAGAGGCAUAAAUGUAUUAUCAAAAUGACCACAACAAGGUGGAAAGAUAAGCAAAGUGGCUACAAACAGACAUUUAAUGACCAAAGGGACUACAAUGACCACAAGCUGACAAAAAUGAGUACUGAGAGAUAAAAAAAAUGUAAUGAGAUGUAGGAAUCUUUUUUUAAAGGACCACAAAGUGCAUCAAACAACAGCAAAGACCAUAAAUACAUGCAAAGUUAUCACAAUGAGAUGUUAACCACAAUAAGGAGUAAAAACUCUUACUAAAACACAUAAAAUUGCUACAAAGAGAUACAAAACUGCUACAACGAGGCCUUAAACAUCGCACAGAAGCAACAAGAUGCUCUUAAAAACUAUUUCAUUUGGAUGUGGAAACCAGUGAUGGACAACAAUGUGCCGCAGAUUUUGUAGUCUCAGAGCUGAGAAGGAAAACCAGCUCUGAGGGCUGCAGGGGAACCAGCAGGAGGAAGAUCUGGGAUCAGAUGGUGGAGUUGGCAGAGCUUCAGACAGUCAACGCUGUGUCAUCCUAACCACAGAGACUUGCUACUUAAUGACAGGGAGCACCAACACACACACACACACACAACACACACUGAUAUUCAGAGUCCAAAAAAUGACGCUCUAUGUGAUUAUCCCCCCCAAACUGGAGAGAAUGGAACUAAUAACAGCUAUCAGAAAGAGAAGAGGAAAGAAGGAGCAGAGAAGCGGAAGCAAAGUCCAACAUUGAGAUUCUGUGCAUCUCAGUAUCUAAAGAUACUUUAUGAACUCAGUAUUUCUUCAAUUGACAUUCCUAUCUGUUAUGUGCGCAUCAAGAAUAUAAAAAAUCUAAAAUAAAAAAGAGCAGUGACAAUCUCUUAAAAGGCCUGUAACCUUCAAAAAAUUGUAAAAAUGAUCAUAGCAGUAGAGUAGAACUUUACCUGGCAAAAAAAACAGUUUGACCUUUUUACAAUUUUUUUUGUGAUUUUUGUUUUUUGUUUUUUUAAUCUGUAACAAUUUUUUAAAAAAAUCAAACAUUUUCAGUCCUUUAUGGACAGAAUUUUUCUAUCAAAUAAACAGUAAAUACACAGAAAAUAACAUUUUUUGGGCCAAUUUAAAUAUAGUACAUCAGCAAAAUAUACAUUCAGCCAAGAAUUAAUUAUCCAUCCAUCCAUUCUCUGUACACCGCUUUAUCCUCACUAGGAUCGCAGGGGUGGGGGUGCUGGAGCCUAUCCCAGCUGACUCAGGUGAAGGCAGGGGACACCCUGGACAGGUCACCAGUCUGUCACAGGGCUACAUAUACAGACAAACAAUCACACUCACAUUCACACCUACAGGUCUAUCUUCUAUCAAAUAAACAGUAAAUACACAGAAAAUAAUUUUUUGGGCCAAUUUAAAUAUAGUAAAUCAGCAAAAUUUACAUUCAGCCCAGAAUUAAUUAUCAUUCCUUAAAAGAAUACAGAUUGUUUUUAUAGAUAUUUUUAAACUGUGCUUUAAAUAUUAGGCUUAAAACGUACCUAUUUGGUAAACUUUACUGUUACUCAGGUAACUCUAAGCCAUCUCUUGGUUAUGCAGCUUUUGGCUUAGACUGCAUGCCAUUAACUUUGUGUCAUCCUUCUCCUGUAGAUUGUAUUUUGUCCUCUCUGAAGCUACAUGUUUCUGACCUGUACUUUUGAUUAAUCAUACUUAGGGAUGCAAAUUAUCGAGUAAUUCAUUAAUCGAUAGUUGCUUCAUCUUAUCAAUCGAUGAUUGAUUAAUUGAUAAGUGGCAAUUUUUCUGAGAAGCUGAAUUUCCCUCUGAAUCAAUAGCAUUUUUGUAGAAAAGAACCUAUCUUUCUUAUGAAAGAGAAAAUGCAAAUCAUAUUCCUUAAUAAAAGAUUUAUUCUUAACAGCAGGGAAAAACACAUUCACAAAUGGAACAGUCCGUUGUGACGGCUACAUUCGCGGUUGCAAGUUGUGUUUUUAACUCUGCCUUCUUCCUCGCGUAGCUUGCUUCCAUGCAGGUGGUUAUUGUGGUUCUAGAGGGAAUAUCAUAUCCUGGCUCGAUGUACUUUAUUACCUCUCUAAACCUCUGUCCUUCAACAGCAUUUAUUGGCAGCAUGUCUGUCGUAACCAUGUCACAUAUCCGCUGGGUAAUGCCCUCUGCCUUCCUGGAGUCACAUACUCUUUGUCCCAACCAAUGACGUACAUAUAGAGCUAGACCACUCACUGGCCGCUGAGAGGCGAUAAAUAGGAGCUGACUUCCGGUAGUGGCAAGACGGGGAUUUCUCAUUGGAACGCCAGCACGGUAUGUGACUUUGUGUUUCGUGAUUUACCAAGGUACAGUAAACUUCUGUGUUGGAAUCAAGUCACAAUGCUUGAAAUACGUUGAGAACACCAGGCCAGGAGGCCCUAGACCAGCACUGGCAGGGUUUUUCAGUGACUGCAGCUGAGCAGACUCUCCUCAGGAGAGUUCCCCAGUUCGCGGUCAUGCUCAUGGCUCGCCAUUCCCCCUGUGCCUGUGGUCUCACUCUGACCUGGUGACGGAUGACAAGGCUAUUUUUGUCAUCAGAAAUUAUGUGUUAAUGAACUAGAAAUCUGUUUGAGAAGGUGAGCAGCACGGCAUGAUCAUAUGUGACACUGACAGUGCAUACGUCACUGCAUAGCACUUAGCAGUUAGCACUUCUGCUAGCUCCUUCAAUGCUACCAGUUUUGUGAUUCCUUCUCUGGAAUGUAAGUGAAAGGAAACGUGCUGACACUCACCUUGCAAUCAUCACAUCAUGAACCUGUUAAUUUAAGUGUCUCUGUUGUUAUGGUUUCAGGUGGACGUGGCUAAUAUCUGACCAUGGUGAAGUCGUGUGCUGCCAUCUCCUGCACCAGUCGAUUUGCAAUAUUUCCUUUCAUAAGUUUCCCAAGCAGUCCAAGGACAGCACACUGAGAGAUCAAUGGAUACAGGCCAUCAGUAGAGAAGUGGUGGGGACCAAGAGGAGAUGAUCAUAAUUAUGUAUGCAGCAACCAUUUCAGGGAGGAGGACUUCAUCCUCUCAAAACAUGCUCAACACAAGCUUCUCAGGCCAGGAGCUGUACCAUCCCUCAAUCUGGGGAAACCAGAGAAAAAGAUUGCAGUGAGGACAACCCAAAGCAGCCCGGCAGCAGUGGCAUUAUACCAGCACAUCGACAUGGAGCCUGAACAAGAGCCUGAAGAGGGCAGUGCUGCUGUUACAGAAGACCAUGCAUACUGUACAGACAUCGACACCCUGAAGAGGAAAUAUGACGAUCUAAGUGUACAGCAUGAAAAGCUAAGGCAGGACUUCAACAAUGCCAAACGUAGAGGGAAGCGCUGCAGAGUGACGUUGGAGGCCAUGUUAGCUAAAACCAAGGAAAUACAAGCCCUGUCUGAUGAUGCUCAUUCCAUGCUUGAUGCAUAUAAAGGUAUUCCUUGUUUAGAAGUACAUAUGAGUGACAUGCAGCAUAUGUAAAUAUAAUUAUGUAACUGCACAUUGCUCACCCACACAGUGCACUAGAACUGAGAUCAAUGUUUGUUAAUGCUUCAUGAGAUGAUGACUGGUUCACAGAUAACUGUACUUUUGCCUUCCACAACAUUAUCUAAACAGUUUUGCGGCUGUGAUACCCAACAUUUAUAUGGAAACUAUCUAAGCUAUUAACUAUGUUUGAUCACACUUAAUUUUCAGAAUAAUGUCAUUUGUUUGUAACUCCCCAACACCUGAAAUUGGGACAUAUAUACAACACGCAUUUAGGUUGAAUAUUUAUGAAAAUUGCAAAUUAAACUCAAAGGGGCUGACUGAACUUUGAUGGUUCAUCAUGAAGCAUGAUGUGCUGUAUAAAUGCCGUCUACAUACUGCAAUCUGCCUGAAAGUUGAUGUGAUUGAUCACAGUCCUGCAGUGAUGACCUCCAUAUGCCAGUGUGCACUCAGUCAUAGCAUCACCUGUUGUAGAGGAAAUUACAAGUUUUACACUUUAAUGUUGUACUAUACUUUUAAUAAAUUUAUCUGCACUUUUUUUCAUUUACUUUAAAUUAACUUCUUUUCUAUUGGUUGUUGCAAUUAGUGUUUGACAUGCUUUUAUUUUUUCUAUUUCUUGUCUUCUUUUGGCUGUUUUACUCAAUCAGUUUUAAUUAUUCUAGAAAUGAGUGUCCAUUGUAUUCAAUGAACCUUUUCUGAUUAAAGUGACUUCAUUUUUUAUUACA